CCCUAGUCAUAGACUGUUCUCUCUGCUACUGCAUUAUCGCCCAAGUCAUAGACUGUUCUCUCUGCUACUGCAUUAUCGCUCUAGCCAUAGACUGUUCUCUCUGCUACUGCAUUAUCGCCCUAGUCAUAGACUGUUCUCUCUGCUACUGCAUUAUCACCCUAGUCAUAGACUGUUCUCUCUGCUACUACAUUAUCGCCCUAGUCAUAGACUGUUCUCUCUGCUACUACAUUAUCACCCCAGUCAUAGCUGUUCUCUCUGCCACUACAUUAUCACCCUAGUCAUAGACUGUUCUCUCUGCUACUACAUUAUCACAUAAGUCAUAUACUGUUCUCUCUGCUACUGCAUUAUCACUUAAGUCAUAGACUGUUCUCUCUGCUACUACAUUAUCACCCGAGUCAUAGACGGUUCUCUCUUCUACCGCACAGCAAGCAGCACCGAUGUACCAAGUCUGGAACCAACAGGACACUGAACAGCUUUUACCCCCCAAGCCAUAAGACUGCUAAAUAGUUAGCCCGUGUAGCUAUUUGGUUAACUAUUUAACUAUCUGAAUGGACACUUUUUGCGCUAACUUUUUUGACUCAAUCACAUAUGCUGCUGCUACUGUUUAUUAUCAGUCACUUUAUUCCUAGUUAUACAUACAGUAUCUACCGCAAUUACCUCGUACCCCUGCAUAUCGACUAACUGGUGCCCCUUGUAUAUACAGUAUCUACCUCAAUUACCUCCUACCCCUGCAUAUCGACUAACUGGUGCCCCUUGUAUAUACAGUAUCUACCUCAAUUACCUCCUACCCCUGCAUAUCGACUGUAACUGGUACCCCUUGUAUAUAGCCAUGUUAUUACCUCCUACCCCUGCACAUUAACUCAUACUGGUACCCCUUGUAUAUAGCCAUGUUAUUACCUCCUACCCCUGCACAUUGACUGGUACCCUUUGUAUGUAGCCAUGUUAUUGUUACUCAUUGUGUAUCUAUUGUUACUUGUAUUAUUAUGUUUUUGUUGUUUUUCUAUUCAAUUUCUAUGUUGUUUCUCUCUGCGUUAUUCGGAAGGGCCCAUCAGUAAGCAUUUCACUGUUAGUCCACACCUGUUGUUUAUCAAGCAUGUGAUGAAUAAAAUGUGACUAAUUUGAUCAUUACACAUCUAAUACUGUAUAUGGAUAAAAUCAGAUAAACAGCAGGGUUCGGGUCCAGUACCUGUCUGAUGAACAGCAGGGUUGGGGUCCAGUACCUGUCAGAUAACCACCAUGGUUGUGGUCUAAUACCAGUCAGAUAAACAGCAACGUUGGGGUCCAGUACCUGUCAGAUAAACAGCAGGAUUGUGGUCUAGUACCUGUCAGAUAAACAGCAGGAUUGUGGUCUAGUACCUGUC
ensembl:lncRNA